rnacentral:rRNA from 1 species
UACGUAGGUGGCGAGCGUUGUCCGGAUUUACUGGGCGUAAAGAGCGCGCAGGCGGUCGGCCAAGUCGAGUGUGAAAGCCCCCGGCUCAACUGGGGAGGGUCACUCGAUACUGGUCGACUCGAAGGCGGGAGAGGGAAGUGGAAUUCCCGGUGUAGUGGUGAAAUGCGUAGAUAUCGGGAGGAACACCAGUGGCGAAGGCGGCUUGGCUGGGCCGUAGCUGACGCUGAGGCGGCGGAAAAGCGUGGGGAGCAAACAGGG